GAUGAACGCUGGCGGCGUGCCUAAUACAUGCAAGUCGAGCGAACAGACGAGGAGCUUGCUCCUCUGACGUUAGCGGCGGACGGGUGAGUAACACGUGGAUAACCUACCUAUAAGACUGGGAUAACUUCGGGAAACCGGAGCUAAUACCGGAUAAUAUAUUGAACCGCAUGGUUCAAUAGUGAAAGACGGUUUUGCUGUCACUUAUAGAUGGAUCCGCGCCGCAUUAGCUAGUUGGUAAGGUAACGGCUUACCAAGGCAACGAUGCGUAGCCGACCUGAUAGGGUGAUAGGCCACACGGGAACUGAGACACGGUCCAGACUACGACGGGAGGCAGCAGUAGGGAAUAUUACGAAAUGGGCGAAAGCCUGACGGAGCAAAGCCGCGUGAGUGAUGAAGGUCUUCGGAUCGUAAAACUCUGUUAUUAGGGAAGAACAAAUGUGUAAGUAACUAUGCACGUCUUGACGGUAACUAAUCAGAAAGCCACGGCUAACUACGUG
rnacentral:rRNA from 1 species